rnacentral:rRNA from 1 species
CACGUAGGGCGCAAGCGUUGUCCGGAAUUAUUGGGCGUAAAGAGCUCGUAGGCGGUCCGUCACGUCCGCUGUGAAAACCCAGGGCUCAACCCUGGGCUUGCAGUGGAUACGGGCAGACUAGAGGUAGGUAGGGGAGAAUGGAAUUCCCGGUGUAGCGGUGAAAUGCGCAGAUAUCAGGAGGAACACCGGUGGCGAAGGCGGAUCUCUGGGCCAUAACUGACGCUGAGGAGCGAAAGCAUGGGGAGCGAACAGG